rnacentral:rRNA from 1 species
UACAAAGCUAGAGUCUGGUAGGGGCCAAGGGAAUUCCCGGUGUAGCGGUGAAAUGCGUAGAGAUCGGGAAGAACAUCGGUGGCGAAAGCGCUUGGCUAGACCAGAACUGACACUCAGGGACGAAAGCUAGGGGAGCGAAUGGGAUUAGAUACCCCAGUAGUCCUAGCUGUAAACGAUGGAUACUAGGUGUUGCCUGUAUCGACCCGGGCAGUGCCGAGCUAACGCGUUAAGUAUCCCGCCUGGGGAGUACGCACGCAAGUGUGAAACUCAAAGGAAUUGACGGGGGCCCGCACAAGCGGUGGAGUAUGUGGUUUAAUUCGAUGCAACGCGAAGAACCUUACCAGGGCUUGACAUGUCGCGAAUCUAGGGGAAACCUUGGAGUGCCUUCGGGAGCGCGAACACAGUGGUGCAUGGCUGUCGUCAGCUCGUGUCGUGAGAUGUUGGGUUAAGUCCCGCAACGAGCGCAACCCUCGUCUUUAGUUGCCAGCAUUAAGUUGGGCACUCUGAAGAGACUGCCGGUGACAAACCGGAGGAAGGUGGGGAUGACGUCAAGUCAGCAUGCCCCUUACGCCCUGGGCUACACACGUACUACAAUGGUCUGGACAGAGGGUAGCCAACCCGCGAGGGUGAGCCAAUCCCUAAAACCAGGCCUCAGUUCAGAUUGCAGGCUGCAACUCGCCUGCAUGAAGUCGGAAUCGCUAGUAAUCGCAGGUCAGCAUACUGCGGUGAAUCCGUUCCCGGGCCUUGUACACACCGCCCGUC